UACAGAGGUCUCAAGCGUUGUUCGGAUUCAUUGGGCGUAAAGGGUGUGUAGGUGGCGCGCUAAGUCGGGUGUGAAAUUUCGGAGCUUAACUCCGAAACUGCAUUCGGUACUGGCGUGCUUGAGGACUGGAGAGGAGACUGGAAUUUACGGUGUAGCAGUGAAAUGCGUAGAUAUCGUAAGGAAGACCAGUGGCGAAGGCGGGUCUCUGGACAGUUCCUGACACUGAGACACGAAGGCCAGGGGAGCAAACGGG
rnacentral:rRNA from 1 species